rnacentral:lncRNA from 1 species
ACAGGAUGAGUGAAUGCAUAAUGCGAAACAGUAAAUAGAUCCGAGAGACAAACUAACCAUUAUCAGUGCCGCUACGUAGAGUUUAAAAUUACGGGCAAAAUGCAAAACUGUAGAAGAAGUUUCACUCUUGAAAUCGAAUAAAAGGAACAAAAUUAAGUCACCGCCUCCACCAGCAACUUCUGCGCACGGAAUCCAGAUAGGUUUUACAAUUUCACAAAAACGAAACCUAAUCGAUAACCUUCUAUUGUUGUUCGGAGAUUUGCUGACAGAGAAAGAAAUUGAGGUGCGAGAGUUGUUGUAGGUGAAGAGAGUACCUCGAGUGAGAAUGUGGAUAGAGCAACAAUGGCUUCCUCCACGGAUACCAAUUACUGAGUCAAUCCUUGAAGAAAACCAGUGCGUGAAAAUAGAAGAAGAACAGAGGAAAGAUGAAUAUUCGAUUUCCUUUCUCUCUUUCGC